UAAUACAGAGGGUGCAAACGUUGCUCGGAAUUACUGGGCGUAAAGCGCGUGUAGGCGGACCUGUAAGUUGGACGUGAAAGCCCUGGGCUCAACCCAGGAAUUGCAUUCAAAACUACAGGCCUAGAGUGAUGGAGAGGGUGGCAGAAUUCCUGGUGUAGAGGUGAAAUUCGUAGAUAUCAGGAGGAACACCGGUGGCGAAGGCGGCUACCUGGACAUCAACUGACGCUGAGACGCGAAAGCGUGGGGAGCAAACAGGAUUAGAUACCCUGGUAGUCCACGCCGUAAACGAUGAGUGCUGGGUGUCGUGGGUUUUGACCCCCGCGGUGCCGUAGCUAACGCGUUAAGCACUCCGCCUGGGGAGUACGGCCGCAAGGCUA
rnacentral:rRNA from 1 species